UACGGGGGGGGCAGGCGUUGUUCGGAAUUACUGGGCGUAAAGGGCUCGUAGGCGGCCAACUAAGUCAGACGUGAAAUCCCUCGGCUUAACCGGGGAACUGCGUCUGAUACUGGAUGGCUAGAGAUUGGGAGAGGGAUGCGGAAUUCCAGGUGUAGCGGUGAAAUGCGUAGAUAUCUGGAGGAACACCGGUGGCGAAGGCGGCAUCCUGGACCAACACUGACGCUGAGGAGCGAAAGCCAGGGGAGCAAACGGG
rnacentral:rRNA from 1 species